UGGUGCUACUUUGCCAAAAUUAGUUGUAAAGAAUUUUGGAACUUUGUGUACAUUAUAUAACAGAGACUGACAUUCACAUCCAUUCUUCGAUGGCUCUUCAUGAUUCAUCUGAAAAAAAGAAACCCCUUCUGGUUGGAGUGCAUCGAAGUUUCAUUCCUGAUGGACUGUUUGAUAUAGUCCAGAUUCAAGUGAGCUUAUCGAGAGAAAUAUAGAACUUCAUGUAAUUGAGGAGUAAGGUCUUGAGUGGUGUGCGAUUAGGAUAUUUUUGAGACAAGUCACAGAUUGAGUUCACGCUGAAUUCUUAAGUACAAGUUUUUAUUAGAGUAGUAGGCACAAAAAACACGGAUGGAGGCAGUUGUGGACUUUUUGGUUGAAUCGAAGACUGUAGCUAAAUAGUCUUAUAAAGAAACCAGCUUGGUCGGGUUGAAUGGACAUAUUCUGCCUUGAAAUCACUUCAUAUGAGGGAUUAGUAAGUUUAUGGAAAAUUUGGAGGACGUAAAGAGCAUUCAGAGAUGAUCAAAAAUGGACGCUACUAAAUAUACUUGUAUAAAAUUAUAUGAAUAUAUUUUUUGAUUUACAUUGGCGUUUGUCAUGAAUUAAUGAAGAAGAAACUAUA